GUCUUAGUUCCAAAAGGGAAGAGAAAUUUCACAUUUAAAAAAAUAAGAGGGUGUAAGAUGUAAAAUUCUUUUAGAUGCUUCUUACCUUUGUUAAAAAAGAAACAACAAGCCCAAAAUGGAGUAACUUGUGCUAAGCCUCACAUCAGCAAACCAAGAUUAAAUAUUUAACCUAGGGGCUUCCCUGUUGUCUUUUAUGAUAAUCAAGUUGUAUUAUCAACUUUGGGUUAAAAAAACAUUUUUUUUGUAUUAUCAGAACUUGAAAAUUAAAACAAAGUGACAAAAUUAAUAUAUUUAAGUUGCAGGUAAUAUACUAUGCAAUGCAAAUUUUAUUUUCUGAGUAUAAUUUAUGAACCUACACAUUUAUAUUCUUGCAUACUGAGUUUUCUUUGGCUUUUAAAAUGUUUUCUUAUCACCCAUUUAGAGGAUAUUGUGUUUUCAGAAGAUAGGGUCGAUAACUUCUGUAUUUUAAGAUCAGUGAAUGAGAAACUUUAGUCUGUAUAUUAGAAAUAUUUACAUCCCUCACAUAAAUAGUUUCAAUAUUGAAAAAGGAAGACAGAUGUUCUCCCAUUUUAAAAUUAGAUUUCAGAUUGCAACAUAUAUAACGACAGGAAAGGUUUAAAAUCUCUUAGAGAAAAUAAUUACAAAACUUUUGGUCAAAAUUUUCAAGUAGCUUAUAUGUUUGUGGCAAUUAUUGAAAAUGUACAAAACUGUUUGAAAACCCUAAAAAACGUCAAGAUUAAAAUUUCAUUAGAUACUAUUUUAGGAGUUUUUCCCCUUGCUUUUAAUAGAGUUUAUUGAAUAACUUUCAGCACGCAGAGACAUUAAAGUGUAAAUCUAAGACUUUAAUUUUGGCAAAAUGGUUGACCAGUCGAGCAGAAAAACCCCUCCUAACAUCAAAUGCCUGAAAUAAUGGGUUAAAUGUUAAAAAAUGUUUUAAAAAUCAUUGCUAAUGUGGUAGUAAAUUAAGAAAAACCAUUAGAGGGCAGAAUUGACAAAAAACACAAAUCCAGAGCAGUAAGUGAGCACUGGAGUCAGUGUUUGCCUGGAGAAAACCUGACAAUUGUCAGUAAAUUUGGGCCUGGAUUUUAAAGUCCCGUGCACCCACGGAGCUGGAGGCAAAGCAUGGGUCUGAGUGUCCUAGAAGGCUGGGUCAGAGAUAACCUCAAAAAUCUGAGACACCACUUCCCAGAGGACAAUACACUCAGUGACUGAAAAAAAGAGGCGAAAUCCCCUUUCAGAGGAAGAUGUUGAGAGUACUUGCCUGUCUAGCCUUGUGUAUUAUGAUUUUUAAUAUUUUAUGAUGCUUUGAUAUCUUGGGGCCUUGCUGAUUUGGGAGAGACUGCCCUACCCAGGGGUAACUAAUUCCUAGAGUUAGCAACUACCUGUGAGCAUGCCUUUCAUAUGCAAAACAAAUAAUCCUGCGUCCAUAUCCUCAGCCACCUCCUUUAGGUAACUCUCACAUACCAAGUUAAGAUUCCUUUUGCCCUAAAUCACCCCAAGACCAUGGAUAUGGAGCAUUAAUUCAUACUACUGUGUGACUUAAAACCCAAGCCAAUAAUUAAGUCAGAGUGAUUCUGGUUUGGCAGUGACCCCAACAGCCCAGCAAAAGAAAGCACAAAUCUGCUACGGAGGAAAGAAAACACAAUUUUUAAACAUUUCUCAGAGUUCCAAAGAAUAUCAUCCCCUAAUAAAAAUAUUAAAAACAUGAAAAAAUAAGCCGUAAGCAAGGUUAACAGAAACAGAAUGUUAUGAAACAUAUUUGCAAAGCCUGUAGAUAUUGUAAUAAUCAGAAGAAUAUAAAUGAGUAUUUUUUAAUUCCUUAAGGAAAAAGAGUGAAUCAAAAAUAUAAACAAAGACCAAAUUACUAUCAAUUAAGAACCAAACAGAAGUUGUAAAGAUGAAAAUAUAAAAUUAAAUUAAAAAACCUGAUUGAUGGAUAAAAUUACACAGUUGAAGAAAGAAUCAUUAAAUGAUACAAAGAAAUUACCCAGGAUGCAGCAAAGAAAGAAAAGGAAAGGAAAAUAUGAGAGGACAGAGGGAAGAGUUCCCAGACACUCCUAAUGAUAGUUCCAGAAUAAUAAAAUAUAAAGAUGGUGAGAAGAAAAUAUUUGAAGAGAUAAUUGCCAUUUCAGAUACACCAAUAUCAAGUUCAGGAAACUCAAUGAAUCCCAAGGAGGUAAAUAAAAACAAACAUACACCUAGACGUAGUGAAAUUAAGAUAUUAAUGAAGAAGAAGAGAUAUUUAAAAUAUUAGAGAAUAAAAUAGAAUAAUCACAAGGGACGAACAAUUAGAUUAAAAAUUGAUUACUCAGCAGUAGAAACUGAGGCCAGAAAAUAGUGAAAUAAUAUAUUCUAAAUACUGAGAGAAAAUAAUUGGUACCAUAGAGUUACAGAUGAAGCAGAACUUUCUUUUACAAAUGAGAUGUACGUAGGUAUUUUACAUAAGAAAAAGAAUGCAAGUUACUGGUUGUUAAUAUGAAGUCUUAUCUACUUUAGAAUAUAAAUCUUGUAAUCAAUAUAAGCUCUCCUUUCCCCAGAGUCCAGCGACUUGGAAAUUGUGCUUAAUGAUGGGAGUGGAAAAAAUCUCUCAUAACCCUGUGUCUUUUC
ensembl:lncRNA